AAAAUUCUCCCUCUCUCCUCUCUCUGUAGAGACAGACCUGUCUGGCUCUGGCUCUGGCUCUGGCUCCACUCGGACCCUCCCUCGGAGCUCCAUUUCCUACUUCUCUCUCUCUCUCUCUCUCUCUCUUUCUUUCUUCUCUCUCCAUACAAACGCUAGCGUAUAGAUGUGCAACUGAUUGUAGAUAAAGAUUAUAGCGCGAAAUGGUGAAAUCUGCAAAGUCUCAUCUUGAGGAAGAAGAAGAAGCUGACGAUUACGAUAACCUCGUUGCUAAGAACGAUUCCUCUUCAGG